UACGUAGGGUGCAAGCGUUAAUCGGAAUUACUGGGCGUAAAGCGUGCGCAGGCGGUGAUGUAAGACAGUUGUGAAAUCCCCGGGCUCAACCUGGGAACUGCAUCCGUGACUGCAUCGCUGGAGUGCGGCAGAGGGGGAUGGAAUUCCGCGUGUAGCAGUGAAAUGCGUAGAUAUGCGGAGGAACACCGAUGGCGAAGGCAAUCCCCUGGGCCUGCACUGACGCUCAUGCACGAAGCGUGGGGAG
rnacentral:rRNA from 1 species